CCUACGGGAGGCAGCAGUGGGGAAUAUUGCACAAUGGGGGGAACCCUGAUGCAGCGACGCCGCGUGGGUGAAGGAGUAUUUCGGUAUGUAAAGCCCUAUCAGCAGGGAAGAACAAUGACGGUACCUGACUAAGAAGCACCGGCUAAAUACGUGCCAGCAGCCGCGGUAAUACGUAUGGUGCAAGCGUUAUCCGGAUUUACUGGGUGUAAAGGGAGCGCAGGCGGCGCGUUAAGCCUGGUGUGAAAGCCCGGGGCCCAACCGCGGGACUGCAUUGGGAACUGGCGCGCUGGAGUGCCGGAGGGGUAGGCGGAAUUCCUAGUGUAGCGGUGAAAUGCGUAGAUAUUAGGAGGAACACCAGUGGCGAAGGCGGCCUACUGGACGGUGACUGACGCUGAGGCUCGAAAGCGUGGGGAGCAAACAGGAUUAGAUACCCCUGUAGUC
rnacentral:rRNA from 1 species